AUGAUUUAUAUCUAUGUUGUAUUCACGGUGCCUGUGCAAGUCUGUUUCAUACUGUCAUCUUGCACUGAGCUCUCGCACUUGAAGAGAAUAAUUCAUCAUGUUCUAGUUUGCCCACAUGUAAUUUUAAGAGCACUGUACUGUACGUUUACUCUGUGCUGCAUUUUUGUUUUUUUUUGUUUGUUUUUUUGAAGGUUGACAAUACAAAUCACUAUGCACUUUCAUUUCCAUCUAAGAUAAAAUUUUUGUUUCAUGCAAGUAGAAAAAAUAAAGUAGUUUUGAAUGACAUGUGGGUGAGUAAAUGUUGACAGAAAUCAUUUUUGGGUGAAUUAUUUCUUGAUUAGGACCUCUAACCAUGUGCAUCUCAACAGGAGUUGCCUUAAAAUAUAAAAUAUAAAUUGUGUGAGUGUUGCCAACCACUAUUUUAUUCUUAUUCUAAUCAGUUAGUGUUUAUUUAUUUGCUUACUAUAUUUUUUUAUUUGCUUUGACGUCAGAUUGCUUAUUUCAUCACAGGUUAUUUCUGUAUAUUUAAACAGCAUGGCAUCUAUUUAUUUAUUUAAAUUGCUUUGAUUAUAUCAUUAUUAUUUCAGAAAAAUACAUAAAAAUCUUUCUGGCACCAAACUUUUUUUUUUUAUAGAUAUAAAGACCAAUAAACACCUAAAGCCUAAAUCUGAAAGAGUAAAUGGAAACAUGCCUGUCAUUCAGACUGCGAUCUCAGGAUAGAAAUGUAACUCUUUUACGCUGUACGACUGAACUCUGAUCAGUGUUUUCAGGUUCAUGACAGAAGUUUGUGGUGCUUUGAUGAAACCACUGUAUUUCAUUCCUGCUGAUGUUCUGUGAAUUAUAAGGGUUAUGUAGCAUUAAGUGCCUUUUUAACUUUUUUUUUUAAAUCGUCUCCUUAUUUGAAGCGGAAACAGGUGCUUUUUUAAAGUCUUAAUAUGUUUUACUUAAAGAAAGCACUUUUGAAAUGUAAGCUGUUUUUGUCUUUGUUACCUGUGGAUUUCUCCUGUAGGAAAAUGUCAUUUGUUUGUACUAAUCAUAUGAAUGUAUAUUUGCAUGUUCAUCAUCUGGUUUUACUCACCACUAUUUUUACAUUUUAUUCCCCUAGAACUUAAAUUGUUAGUAUUAUACAUUUUUAUUGUUUUUAAAUACAUUAGAUACCCCUGCUUAAAUGGCUUUGUAUUUAUUCCAACAAAACAAGUUUAGUUUGUAAACUAGGACACCAAACCACACAAUUUGAUGACAUCAUCAUGAAAAGAUAUUUACCGUCAGUUUGUGUAAAAUGAAUCAAAACAGAUUUGCAGAAAUGUAGCAUUGCAUCAGUGUCUCAGUGAUGGAUGCUCUGCAAUGAAUGGGUGCCGUCAGAAUGAGAGUCCAAACAGCUGAUAAAAGCAUCACAAUAAUAAUCCACACCACUCCAGUCCAUCAGUUAAUGUCUUGAGAAGACAAAAGCUAUAUGUUUGUAAGAAGCAAAUCCACCAUUAAGAUGUUUUCAACUUCGAACAGUCAUUUCUGACUACAGUAUGAGUCCAUAAUCCAUAAUAACGCUUCCUCCAGUGAAAAAGUCCAUCUCCUGUUGUCUCUCACAUCAAAAUCCAGCCACAUAUUUGUUUAGAGCUGUUUUGGCUUGUAAACAGUGCAUGAUCUGUGCAGAUUUAUCUCUUGAUUCAGACCAGAUCAAUUUAUCACCAGAGGAAGCGUUAUUAUGGAUUAUGGAAUCGUAUGUUAGCAACGUUUGAAGUCAGAAACAUCUUGACAGAUUUGGUUUCACAAGAUGUUAACUGAUGGACUGGAGUGCUGUGGAUUACCUGUGGACUCUCAUUCUGACGGCACCCAUUCACUGCAGAGCAUCCAUUGAUGAGACACUGAUGCAAUGCUACAUUUCUCCAAAUCUGAUGAAGAAACAAACUCAUCUACAUCUUGGAUGGCCUGAGGGUGAGCACAUUUUCAGCAAAUCUUAAUUUUUGGGUGAACUAAUCCUUUAACACUCCAUCCCAAACCCUUGCGUUUGAUCCAACAAUGAACACAUCUAGCAGAAUAACAGUGCAGCUUUGAGCGGCACAUGCAUCAGCUCGAGGCGGAUCACACCUGCAGCGUUCAGUGGACAGGUACAAUCUUGUCUCCUAAUUGAAUCUUUGUUUAUGCCACGUUGCUGCUGCUCUUCAGGUGGAUUCGUUUCGCACUUCUCCAUGGAAACCGACCAGUUGGUGUGUUUGCGGUACACACAUGUAGAGAUGCUUCUUAUUUUACGUUUGUUCACUGAAGGAAAAUUGUCUGAAUUAAAUGUGAAAUAGGCUUGUAGCUGUCUUUAUAAACGUUCAAGUGAAUAACAAAACAUUUAGAGAGUAUCACAAUGCAUGCAGGCGCUUUCUCCUGAAUGUAAACAACACUCAUUACAUUGAUUAUGUUCAGGGGAAAGCGCAAAAAUUAAAGUUGAGCCAUUGAUGUUACGUGGACUGUUGUACCAAUGUCCUUAUAUGUUUCUGGGCCUGGGAAUAUUUCAGUUGCGUUGCGGUCUAUGGAGGGUCAGAGAGCUCUCGGAUUUCAUCAAAAAUAUCUUCAUUUGUGUUCCGAAGAUCGACAUGAGGGUAAUUAAUGACAGAACUAUCCCUUUAAACUUACUUUCCUGAUGCGCUAUUUAUUAAUAUAUUUUCUCCUAAAUCAAGUAAAAAGGCUGGGCUGGUCCUGUUAUUUUCAUAAUUGUUGAAGACUGUAGAGAGAACAUCAAUAGGAAAAUAAAACCCAGUCAUUUUAGGCAAUUUUUCAAAUGUUGCUGGCCAGGACAUGUCUGGGAAAAAGGGGAUGUAUGGUUAGCCUACCCUACUUUUGAUGGUCUACAAUACUAUUUUAAAUGCUGUUUCCUACUAUCUCAGUUUACUGCAGAUAUAACUAAGAUUACUAAGCAUAUACUUAGUAUAAGUUAUACUGCAGAUAUAACUAAGAUUACUUAAUACUAAUAUCUUAUAUUACUAAGAUAUAACUAUGUCAUCCAUUGGUUGAUCUUAAAACUGAUUGUGAAAACGAUCUAAACACUGGAACUGUCAUAGAGCCACUGAAAAAGGUGUUUUUGCAAGAUUGGCUCAACCAAUGGCGUGAGUCAUGGGCGGAGCUACAUGAAUGUCUGAC
rnacentral:lncRNA from 1 species